ACCCGACUCCAUGAAGCUGGAUUCGCUAGUAAUCGCGCAUCAGCCACGGCGCGGUGAAUACGUUCCCGGGCCUUGUACACACCGCCCGUCAAGCCAUGGAAGCCGGGGGUGCCUGAAGUGCGCUGCCGCGAGGAGCGCCCUAGGGUAAAACCGGUGACUGGGGCUAAGUCGUAACAAGGUAGC
rnacentral:rRNA from 1 species